rnacentral:rRNA from 1 species
UGGAUCCAGACUUUGAUCAUGGCUCAGGAUGAACGCUGGCGGCGUGCUUAACACAUGCAAGUCGAACGGAGUCUCAUUGAAAUCGGCCGGUGCUUGCACCGGCCUGGGAUACGUGACUUAGUGGCGGACGGGUGAGUAACGCGUGGGUAACCUGCCGUAUACCGGGGGAUAACACCUGGAAACAGGUGCUAAUACCGCAUAAGCGCACGGGACCGCACGGCCCUGUGUGAAAAACCAAGGUGGUAUACGAUGGACCCGCGUCUGACUAGCCAGUUGGCAGGGUAACGGCCUACCAAAGCGACGAUCAGUAGCCGGCCUGAGAGGGUGGACGGCCACAUUGGGACUGAGACACGGCCCAAACUCCUACGGGAGGCAGCAGUGGGGAAUAUUGCACAAUGGGGGAAACCCUGAUGCAGCGACGCCGCGUGAGUGAAGAAGUCAUUCGUGAUGUAAAGCUCUAUCAGCAGGGAAGAAAAUGACGGUACCUGACCAAGAAGCCCCGGCUAACUACGUGCCAGCAGCCGCGGUAAUACGUAGGGGGCAAGCGUUAUCCGGAUUUACUGGGUGUAAAGGGAGCGUAGACGGUUGUGCAAGUCUGGAGUGAAAUGCUGGGGCCCAACCCCAGAACUGCUCUGGAAACUGUAUGACUGGAGUGCAGGAGAGGUAAGUGGAAUUCCUAGUGUAGCGGUGAAAUGCGUAGAUAUUAGGAGGAACACCAGUGGCGAAGGCGGCUUACUGGACUGUAACUGACGUUGAGGCUCGAAAGCGUGGGGAGCAAACAGGAUUAGGUACCCUGGUAGUCCACGCCGUAAACGAUGAUCACUAGGUGUCGGUGGGUAGAGACCCAUCGGUGCCGCAGCCAACGCAGUAAGUGAUCCACCUGGGGAGUACGUUCGCAAGAAUGCAACUCAAAUG